ACUAUCCAACAAUACAUGAGCGGCCGUGCUCCACCAGUUGUUUUGUGGUUCUUGCAAUCAAGGGAGUUUCUCGCAAGACAGGGCCCUCCCUCUUCUACUUCUUCUACCACCUGUUGUUGUUGAUUGGUCUAUGCACGGUGAAGUGCGAGUCAAAGUCCGAAGCUGUCAAGCAUAUCAACAAGUAGUAGCAUAUUGUGUGUUGUAAUUGCAGGCAGUAGUAAGCAUAUCUGGCUUGUAGUAUAUUGUAAUGAUUGUAAUAGACUAAUGUAGUGUUGUUUUGGAUGAAUUUCGAUAAUUAUUGUGUAUGUGGUUUGAAUACCUGUGAAAUGGAAACCUGACAAUGGAGUCCAAGUUAUAAUGGCUGUUUGGCAAAGUUCGAAUUUUUUGA